CAGGCAGAGAGAGGAGGGGAAGCAGGCUCCCCGCUGAGCAGAGAGCCCGAUGUGGGGCUCAACCCCAGGAUUCUGGGAUCACGGCCUGCGCCAAAGGCAGAGGCUUAACCCACUGAGCCACCCAGGCGCGCCCUGAGUGGGCACGUGGAGUGUGAAAUUGAACUGGACUUCUCAUGUGCCCUAACAGCCCGAGGGAGGCGGAGUGGGUGUGGAAAGCACAUGAAGGUUCGUCCACCAGAGUGACAACAUUCAAGACCCUGCUGGGCGGGCUGUGAAGAUGUUUGGCCUCAGCCAGUUGGACAGAAGCCGUGUGCCGUACGACCCAGCCACUCUGGGCCUAGGUCUAGGGUCCAAGUUCGAGCUCACAUACGUCGGACUGUACCAGAAUGUCUACGGCGGCGUUGGUGUUUAUAGCGAAACACGGGAAACAAAUGUCCUUUAAGAGAAAGGUAAAAGUGACAUAGGUAUGCAGCGGAUAUUAGAAGAGAUUUCCAGCUGGGGGCGAUUUUUUCCCUGGGCCAUUUGGCAAGACCUGGAGGUCAUUUCAGCCCCAGUGACCAGAGGUGGCGGCGUUACUACCACCCAAGGGAUAGAGGCCAGGGAUGCUGGUAAACAUUUGAGGAUGCACAAGACAGCUCCUCUCUAUCCCUACGCCAAAGACAUAAAGUCUAAGAUGUCGGCCUUGCUACACAGCCAAGCAAGUGAGCGAACUACAGCUUCUGUGUACCAGGGAAAUAAUGAGGGAGAAGCACGUGGCCAAAGAACACAGAGAGCACAAUACAGUUUAAAUAAGGUUCAAAAGCAUGAACAUCAAGCGGUCUAUUAUAAGGGGGAAAUAUAGGAUGCUGACGGAAUAAUUAAUGGAACGUUCAGACUCGUGGGGUCAGGUGGGCUGGGGCAUGUGACCAGGAGGAGCCCCAGGGGCCUUCAAAAGUGGCAGUGGCUUCCUACGCGGGGCCGCGGCUGCCCAGCUCCUGCUGUGUCUCUGUUUGUUAGAAUAUAAAAUAGUUCUUUUUUA